ensembl:lncRNA
AGAUAAUAUAGAAGACAGCGCUAGCGUAUCCAGUCUGUAUGUAUCUAUGGUCUGCACGUCUGGUAGCAUCUGUGGCUGCUGUUGAUCUUGUUUUUGGAGUAAAACACGGUGGAAGCUGAAUUAGUGAGGAUGACUCCUGCUCCUGUCAUCUCUAAGCUCCUCCCACAUCUUUACCUGCACAUGAGGAAAAUCACUCCUGUAGAAUGCAGAUGUUCAGAGGGAGAUGAUGCCACAUCUGGUCCAGCCGAUGGAAGGUCUUGAAGUUCUCUGACUGGCCUCGACUGAAGAUGGUCGUCUCACUGGAUUUAAGAUGCACGAGGGACGUCUGCAGAGACUGAGAAAGAGUCUCACCACAUCCUGACAUGAGGAAAAAGACUUUAUUAAAGACUACAAUGAGAAAAACUAGCAGACGGCUGCAUUCAAGUUUAGGCUGUUAGAUUGUUCCAGAUAAGACAAGUACAAGAUUCUUCAGAGCCAUUCUACCACGAGCCUGAGAGGAAGAACUCCAACAGCUACUGAAUGUUCCUGUGGUUCCCUCAAGGCUACAGGAGGAGCCCUACGAGGACGAGCUGAUCCACCUGAUGGAGGCCAGUCGCUGUGGUUCAAAGCCAACACCGUCUACGUGGACUUUUACUGGACCACACGGAGGCCUUCAAACCGGACCAACAAGUUCAGCGACUCCCCGACUCGUGGGUCUGAGGACGCCACCAAGCCUCGGUCCAGCCGGCCUCCUGUCUGUGGGUGUUUGAGUGCUGAGAGGAUUACCACAGACCUGACCGUGAACACCGUUGACACCCACCUGAGGGACACGCUGCCUAAGAUCUCAAGGCUGCUUGGUCAUGGUCUUUCUGGUCCUGCUCCAGAACGCCUUCAUCAACUACGUCUUCUUUUGAAGAGGCCCUCAGAUGCUGCAAUCUCUGACCUUAAGGAGGAACUGCUACUUUCACUCUGUAACGAGACGGCAGUUAUUUUAAAGACCCAGCUCCUGUCGGCUUUGAAUGAAAGUUUAAUACCCAUCAAAACAUAAGUACAGACAGUUAAAUCUGAGCUGUCGGUCAGUAUUUCAAACGUCAAGUCUGACCGGGCUGCACUAAAGCACGCUAUGAGUGAAACGGAAACUUCACUCUCCACAUCACCGACGACAUCGUCACACUCCAAAGCAGAGCACCAAUCUGUUGAAUUUUUAAAAGUGGACUAUAAAUGUGAAGAAUGUGAGCAGCAGCAGACUGUGAGCAGUGGAACAGAUGUGAUCAGAAAGAAGUCAUUUUCUUUUUUAUUUUCUUUCUGGUUGACUUGAUGCUGUCAGAUGGAGCUGAUUCUGAUCUUUGAGGAUAAAAAGCUGUUUUUCCUUCACAGACUUUUCAGGAAAUUAUUCUCUCAGGUUUUCUCUGCUAUUUAUAUUUUUAUUAUCUGUGAUUAUUUCAUUAUUUCUUUAUUGUAAAAAUAAAGUUUGAGGUAUAAAGACUCAUUUAGUUAUUUUAAUCCUGAAAUCUUUGAUGUAGCAGAACUAAACUUCCAUUUUCCUUCUUGUACUUCUGAUACUAGAACUAAACGUAUCUUCAGCACGGAUCAUCUGCUUUUAAUGAAUCAGCAGCAACAUCACAACAACAAAUGAGACAAUUUUCAACAAAUUAAUUAAACUGA